GAUGAACGCUGGCUGCAGGCUUAACACAUGCAAGUCGAGGGGAAACGGCAGGGAAGCUUGCUUCUCCCGGCGUCGACCCGCGCACGGGUGAAUAACCCGUAACCCACCUUCCUCUGACUGAGGGAUAACCCGUCGCAGGUCCGCCUAAUACCUCAUGGUAUCAGCUGCAGGCAUCCGACGUCGAUGCCUGAUUUCAUCGGUCAGGGCUGGAUGGGCGUCGGCUUUGCUUGUUGGUGGGGUAACGGCUCACCUAGGCUACGAUCCGUUCUGAGUGUGUGAGGAGGACCAGCCACACUGGAACUGAGACACGGUCCAGACUACUACGGGAGGCAGCAGUGGGGAAUAUUGUACAAUGGGCGCAAGCCUGAUGUAGCCAUGCCGCGUGUAUGAAGAAGGCCUUCGGGUUGUAAAGUACUUUUAGCGGGGAGGAAGGGAGUAAAGUUAAUACCUUUGCUCAUUGACGUUACCCGCAGAAGAAGCACCGGCUAACUCCGUG
rnacentral:rRNA from 1 species